rnacentral:rRNA from 1 species
UACGUAGGGGGCAAGCGUUGUCCGGAUUUAUUGGGCGUAAAGAGCGUGUAGGCGGCCUGAAAGGUCAGCUGUGAAAACUCGAGGCUCAACCUCGAGACGUCGGUUGAAACCAUCUGGCUAGAGUCCGGAAGAGGAGUGUGGAAUUCCCGGUGUAGCGGUGAAAUGCGCAGAUAUCGGGAGGAACACCGGUGGCGAAGGCGGUUCUCUGGGCCUGUACUGACGCUGAGGAGCGAAAGCGUGGGGAGCGAACAGG